rnacentral:lncRNA from 1 species
UUUUGGAUCCAUUAGAUCCUAUGGUAUUCACUGUUUGCUCAGAUAUAUUCACAGAUACAUCCAUAUGUAUGUGAUAGAGACUGUCAAUCAUAAAACUAUGUUGAAUCAAUUUAUUUUUCAAAUAAAAAUCUUUCUGUGCUAAAUAAAAUACAGAAAUCAAAUUUCUGCUAGCAAUAGGUAACAGUCCCUAAGUAUCCUGAGCAUAUCUGACAUACCUUCUGAAGGUCUGUCACCCAUCAUGUUCUUUAUGCUUCCCAUGUAUGUAGGACAGUUCCUCUUCCAAUGGCCGUUCAUGAUGCAAUGGAAACACUUUUCCUUGCAAUUGGCCUUUUUCUUGGAACUUCCUUACUUGGUGUUUUCUUAG